UGUUCGACGUGCACAUAGGGUCGUGUGGGCUGGGAGCAGCUGCUUAGUAGAAGGAGGAGAAACAGCAUCAACGAGCCUCGAUGAAGGCAGAAACAACAGUAGCUCGACGGAGGAAGUAGCGGCGAUAGUCGCGGCGACGAAGAGAAGACGCAGUCGCGACAGUAGCCAUGAAACACGAGAAGCAGUAGAAGAAAGUUGAAGCAAUAGCAGCGACAACCAUGGCAGCAGCACGGCGGAGACGAUCUGAAGCAAACGAAGAAGAUGAAGAAAGCGUUGGACGUAGCAAGGUCGACAGACUGUGGCGGAGGCAGCUAAAGCAGCUAUGGUCGUCGACCUGCUGCUGUGUUCAACGACUAAGGUCGUCGAUGAGGAACAACAACAGUCGACGCAGCAGAAACUGUGCUUGAGCAGCAACAAUAUCCAUGGCCGACGAUGAGGAAGGUGAAGCAGAAGCAGCAGUGCUUGGUUCGUUUUUUGUCCGAGUUUCAGGACUUUUUGAUGCUGAUUUUCAGCUGAGUCUUCGAGUCUUCGAGUUUUGGGUUCAUUUUAGUGAUGCUUUGGAGUAGAGGAAAGAAGAAGAAACGAGGUGGAGGAGGGCAGUCACGGACAUCGAGCUCAAACUCGAGCUUGGCGUCGAAUGAUGAAGAUGAAGUCGCGAUGAUGGUCGCUUGGUCGGAGGCGGAGGCAGAAGCAACUGGUUGAGGGCAGCCAUGGAUGGGGUGUGAAGAAGCUUGGAGAAGAAGAAGCAAAUGGAAGGGGGGCGGAUUGGUUUAGUGUUUAGGGUUUCUUGUCUUUUAAUUUUUUGUUUUGUUUUGUAAAAUGUAAGACAAAGGGGUUUGGGUCUUUUGGGUUAUGGACUGGGUCGACCCAGUUCGAAAUGGACUGGGUCGUAGGGAAGAUUGGGCCAUUUUUUGGGCAUGUGGCUUGAAAUUGAAGAAGAGGCCCAAUUCCGACUUUCUUUAUAUUUUCGCUCUUUUUUCUUCUUUUAUUUCUCUAAAACUAAAUUAUAAAAAUACUUAAACUAUUAUUAAGAAUUAAAUUAAGUUAUAAAAGCGCAAAUUAAUUCCCAAUAACAAUUAACGCACAAUUAAGUAAUAAUUAAGUAUAAAAUUGUAUAUUUGGACAUUAAAUGCUAAAAAUGCAAACGAUGCCUAUUUUUGUAAUUUUUAAUUUUUGUAAACAAAUUUAAUUAGUAACAAUUAUAGAAUUAAAUCCUACAUGCAAAUGCGACAUAUUUUUGUAUUUUUUUUAUUAAUUUAACAAAUAAACAUGCANNNNNNNNNNNNNNNNNNNNNNAUAAAAAUUAAUUUAACAAAACAUAUGAACAUGACUAAAAAAAAUAUAUCUAACCAUAGACAUGAACAAAACAAAUAUUUGCCGAUUUUAGAUUCGAAAAUAUCAAAACAAAAUACGGACAAAAUAAAACUCAAAAUCUACCAACCGGAUUGAAACGACGAACAAACGACCAACCAACAACGAACUCGAACAGUGAUCGACGACAUCGACCAAAACUCAUCCAUGUACGCGAACUCGACUGGAGUUGACGCCGAAGUGAAGCAAUAGUCGAUGCAGCAGCGUGGUUUGUUUUCAACUGUUCGACGUGCACAUAGGGUCGUGUGGGCUGGGAGCAGCUGCUUAGUAUAAGGAGGAGAAACAGCAUCAACGAGCCUCGAUGAAGGCAGAAACAACAGUAGCUCGACGGAGGAAGUAGCGGCGAUAGCCGCGGCGACGAAGAGAAGACGUAGUCGCGGCAGUAGCCAUGAAACGCGAGAAGCAGUAGAAGAAAGUUGAAGCAAUAGCAGCGACAACCAUGGCAGCAGCACGAUGGAGACGAUCCGAAGCAAACGAAGAAGAUGAAGAAAGCGUUGGACGUAGCAAGGUCGACGGACUGUGGCGGACGCAGCUGAAGCAGCUAUGGUCGUCGACCUGCUGCUGUGUUCAACGACUAAGGUCGUCGAUGAGGAACAGCAACAGUCGACGCAGCAGAAACUGUGCUUGAGCAGCAACAAUAUCCAUGGCCGACGAUGAGGAAGGUGAAGCAGAAGCAGCAGUGCUUGGUUCGUUUUUUGUCCGAGUUUCAGGACUAUUUGAUGUUGAUUUUCAGCUGAGUCUUCGAGUCUUCGAGUUUUGGGUUCAUUUUAGUGAUGCUUUGGAGUAGAGGAAAGAAGAAGAAACGAGGUGGAGGAGGGCAGUCACGGAC
rnacentral:lncRNA from 1 species